rnacentral:lncRNA from 1 species
AAAAUGUGCUGCUCUUGGCUGAGUUGGGCUUGGCGACGCGAUACCUGUGUACGAAUGUGUGUAUGGAUGCAUGGAUGUGUGUGGACGUGUGUCUUGUCGGACGAGUUUUGUGGCGUGGAGACAGGCAUCCCGGGCCUGAAUAGGAUGUUCGGGCAGCAGUUUGGAGGCAGAUUAGCGUUUGGAUUUUUAGCAGGGUCCUAUGCCGGCGUGGAACGCUGCAUAAGCCUCCUAAAAGUUAAAAACCGGCGACAACGGGCAGGAACGUGACAGUUUCGGAGCUGGUUUCACGGAGUGAAUCUGUACACAUUGCAUACGCCGAAUGACGAAUGUUAUGACUGUCCUGGGUAAAUCAGUCAUAUACUAGGGUUUACUUGCAGGGUGUUAUACAGGGGACUUGGGGCUUCCGGCUCCACAUCAUCACCGCGUUUUGUAGUAAUCCAACAUCUCUUGUUAUUGGCGCAGUGUUACAAGAUGUCGUGUAUAAUUUUCAUCGUCCGCAUUUUCGUACGGUGACAUGUUGCAGAUGACCCUUUAGAGCAACGAAACGUACACAACUCACGGCGGCUGAAACUCGACUUAAUUGGAGUAUCCUUGCUAUUUGAGCUAUCGUACCUACGUAGAUCAGU